CAGCUUGCUGUUUCGCUGACGAGUGGCGGACGGGUGAGUAAUGUCUGGGAAACUGCCUGAUGGAGGGGGAUAACUACUGGAAACGGUAGCUAAUACCGCAUAACGUCGCAAGACCAAAGAGGGGGACCUUCGGGCCUCUUGCCAUCGGAUGUGCCCAGAUGGGAUUAGCUUGUUGGUGGGGUAACGGCUCACCAAGGCGACGAUCCCUAGCUGGUCUGAGAGGAUGACCAGCCACACUGGAACUGAGACACGGUCCAGACUCCUACGGGAGGCAGCAGUGGGGAAUAUUGCACAAUGGGCGCAAGCCUGAUGCAGCCAUGCCGCGUGUAUGAAGAAGGCCUUCGGGUUGUAAAGUACUUUCAGCGGGGAGGAAGGGAGUAAAGUUAAUACCUUUGCUCAUUGACGUUACCCGCAGAAGAAGCACCGGCUAACUCCGUGCCAGCAGCCGCGGUAAUACGGAGGGUGCAAGCGUUAAUCGGAAUUACUGGGCGUAAAGCGCACGCAGGCGGUUUGUUAAGUCAGAUGUGAAAUCCCCGGGCUCAACCUGGGAACUGCAUCUGAUACUGGCAAGCUUGAGUCUCGUAGAGGGGGGUAGAAUUCCAGGUGUAGCGGUGAAAUGCGUAGAGAUCUGGAGGAAUACCGGUGGCGAAGGCGGCCCCCUGGACGAAGACUGACGCUCAGGUGCGAAAGCGUGGGGAGCAAACAGGAUUAGAUACCCUGGUAGUCCACGCCGUAAACGAUGUCGACUUGGAGGUUGUGCCCUUGAGGCGUGGCUUCCGGAGCUAACGCGUUAAGUCGACCGCCUGGGGAGUACGGCCGCAAGGUUAAAACUCAAAUGAAUUGACGGGGGCCCGCACAAGCGGUGGAGCAUGUGGUUUAAUUCGAUGCAACGCGAAGAACCUUACCUGGUCUUGACAUCCACGGAAGUUUUCAGAGAUGAGAAUGUGCCUUCGGGAACCGUGAGACAGGUGCUGCAUGGCUGUCGUCAGCUCGUGUUGUGAAAUGUUGGGUUAAGUCCCGCAACGAGCGCAACCCUUAUCCUUUGUUGCCAGCGGUCCGGCCGGGAACUCAAAGGAGACUGCCAGUGAUAAACUGGAGGAAGGUGGGGAUGACGUCAAGUCAUCAUGGCCCUUACGACCAGGGCUACACACGUGCUACAAUGGCGCAUACAAAGAGAAGCGACCUCGCGAGAGCAAGCGGACCUCAUAAAGUGCGUCGUAGUCCGGAUUGGAGUCUGCAACUCGACUCCAUGAAGUCGGAAUCGCUAGUAAUCGUGGAUCAGAAUGCCACGGUGAAUACGUUCCCGGGCCUUGUACACACCGCCCGUCACACCAUGGGAGUGGGUUGCAAAAGAAGUAGGUAGCUUAACCUUCGGGAGGGCGCUUACCACUUUGUGAUUCAUGACUGGGGUGAAGUCGUAACAAGGUAACCGUAGGGGAACCUGCGGUUGGAUCACCUCCUUACCUUAAAGAAGC
rnacentral:rRNA from 1 species